rnacentral:misc_RNA from 1 species
AAAGUCGUAACAAGGUUUCCGUAGGUGAACCUGCGGAAGGAUCAUUGACAAAUCUAAACACACACACACACACAAACCUGUGAAUCGGCGGCUGUUGUCCUGCUAGCUAGCUAGCUAGCUGGUGGCACGGCUGCUUUUGGCAAGCGAGGUGGGGAAAAGACGCUCGCGUCCCGUACCCUCCUUGUCUGCCACACAUUUACGCAAUUGUCUUACAACAACAACAACAACAACCAAUGACAAUAUCAAAACAACAACUUUUAGCAAUGGAUCUCUUGGCUUCU